UUCCCCUAGGGAUCUUGUUAAGAUGCACACUCUGAAUCUGUAGAAGUAGGGUGGACCCAAGAUUCUGCAUUUCUAACAAGCUCCCAGGUGAUACUGU
rfam:Tupaia chinensis contig68641, whole genome shotgun sequence.